rnacentral:tRNA from 1 species
CAAAAAGUAGUUUAAAUUAAAAAUAUAAGCUUUGGGAGCUUAAGAUAUGGGUUUCUAUCUUUUUGA